rnacentral:rRNA from 1 species
GAUGAACGCUGGCGGCGUGCCUAACACAUGCAAGUCGAGCGAUUUACUUCGGUAAAGAGCGGCGGACGGGUGAGUAACGCGUGGGUAACCUGCCUCAUACACAUGGAUAACAUACCGAAAGGUAUGCUAAUACAGGAUAAUAUAAGAGAUUCACAUGGAUUUUUUAUCAAAGCUCCGGCGGUAUGAGAUGGACCCGCGUCUGAUUAGCUAGUUGGUAAGGUAAUGGCUUACCAAGGCGACGAUCAGUAGCCGACCUGAGAGGGUGAUCGGCCACAUUGGAACUGAGACACGGUCCAAACUCCUACGGGAGGCAGCAGUGGGGAAUAUUGCACAAUGGGCGAAAGCCUGAUGCAGCAACGCCGCGUGAGUGAUGAAGGCCUUCGGGUCGUAAAACUCUGUCCUCAAGGAAGAUAAUGACGGUACUUGAGGAGGAAGCCCCGGCUAACUACGUGCCAGCAGCCGCGGUAAUACGUAGGGGGCUAGCGUUAUCCGGAUUUACUGGGCGUAAAGGGUGCGUAGGUGGUUUUUUAAGUCAGGAGUGAAAGGCUACGGCUCAACCGUAGUAAGCUCUUGAAACUGGAAAACUUGAGUGCAGGAGGGGAAAGUGGAAUUCCUAGUGUAGCGGUGAAAUGCGUAGAUAUUAGGAGGAACACCAGUAGCGAAGGCGGCUUUCUGGACUGUAACUGACACUGAGGCACGAAAGCGUGGGGAGCAAACAGGAUUAGAUACCCUGGUAGUCCACGCCGUAAACGAUGAGUACUAGGUGUCGGGGGUUACCCCCCUCGGUGCCGCAGCUAACGCAUUAAGUACUCCGCCUGGGGAGUACGCUCGCAAGAGUGA